rnacentral:rRNA from 1 species
CCUACGGGCGGCUGCAGUGGGGAAUAUUGCACAAUGGGCGCAAGCCUGAUGCAGCCAUGCCGCGUGUGUGAAGAAGGCCUUCGGGUUGUAAAGCACUUUCAGCGGGGAGGAAGGCGGUGAGGUUAAUAACCUCAUCGAUUGACGUUACCCGCAGAAGAAGCACCGGCUAACUCCGUGCCAGCAGCCGCGGUAAUACGGAGGGUGCAAGCGUUAAUCGGAAUUACUGGGCGUAAAGCGCACGCAGGCGGUCUGUCAAGUCGGAUGUGAAAUCCCCGGGCUCAACCUGGGAACUGCAUUCGAAACUGGCAGGCUAGAGUCUUGUAGAGGGGGGUAGAAUUCCAGGUGUAGCGGUGAAAUGCGUAGAGAUCUGGAGGAAUACCGGUGGCGAAGGCGGCUCCCUGGACAAAGACUGACGCUCAGGUGCGAAAGCGUGGGGAGCAAACAGGAUUAGAUACCCUAGUAGUC